UAUAGCAAUUGUGGUUCCGGAACAUUGUUCCGGACAAUAGGGAACCGGGUGAAAAUCCCGGGCAGACCCGCUGCUGUAAUUCCUCGCGUCAGAUUUAGACUCUGACACUUCCGGGUGCUUCAUGCCACUGAUUUUUUCGGGAAGGCGCACACCGGUAAGAGGAUAAGCCAGAAGACCUGCCACAGUUGU
rnacentral:ncRNA from 1 species